rnacentral:rRNA from 1 species
UACGUAGGGUGCAAGCGUUAUCCGGAAUUAUUGGGCGUAAAGAGCUCGUAGGCGGUCUGUCGCGUCUGCCGUGAAAGUCCGGGGCUCAACUCCGGAUCUGCAGUGGGUACGGGCAGACUAGAGUGUGGUAGGGGAGACUGGAAUUCCUGGUGUAGCGGUGAAAUGCGCAGAUAUCAGGAGGAACACCGAUGGCGAAGGCAGGUCUCUGGGCCACUACUGACGCUGAGAAGCGAAAGCAUGGGGAGCGAACAGG